rnacentral:lncRNA from 1 species
CCAGUAACUUCAUUUUAAUUGAAAAUCACAUACCUAUAUGUCCUUGGAUAAUGCAAACAAACUGUAUCAAAAACGAAAGGGAAACCUCAUCCCGACAAGGUCGAAGGCCGGUUCAUUUAGACCGGAUGGGGGGAGAGGCCUUACAGCGCCCUAAUGUGCCCCCACAGCCAUGUCAGGAACAGGAGGAGAACCUCGUCCUGACAUGAGCAAGGUCGAAGGCUCGGUUCCAUUUAGACCGGAUAGGGGGAGAGGCCCUACAAUGCCCAUAUGCGCCCCCACAGCCCUGUUAGGGACAGGAGGAGAACCUCGCCCUAACUUGAGCA